UACGAAGGGUGCAAGCGUUACUCGGAAUUACUGGGCGUAAAGCGUGCGUAGGUGGUGAGUUAAGUCUGAUGUGAAAUCCCCGGGCUCAACCUGGGAAUGGCAUUGGAUACUGGCUCGCUAGAGUACAGUAGAGGGUGGUGGAAUUCCCGGUGUAGCAGUGAAAUGCGUAGAGAUCGGGAGGAACAUCCGUGGCGAAGGCGGCCACCUGGACCAGUACUGACACUGAGGCACGAAAGCGUGGGGAGCAAACAGG
rnacentral:rRNA from 1 species